rnacentral:lncRNA from 1 species
GGUGUCAUACGGGAGGCAUCUCCUGAGCAAGCCCUGGAGAGUCCCUUUUAUUGAAUAUUACAGCGUUUGCCACGUACGUGCUUGUUGCUGAUUGGUUAACAUAAGUACAAAGCAAGGGUUGCAUAUAAGACAUUAAUCACUGCAUAUAAGGCAUUAAUCAUCGAUAGGUUAAAGGUUGGGAAAAGGAACGCGGAGUUUAGACAGGUAUGGUUUCCUUCUUAUCAUGAUCGAUGUGGUGCUACUAAUGGACUGCCUGUUCCAGGGUGGUACGAAAGGAAUGUACACAGAGGGAUAAGUACAGACUGAUAUGGUGUGAACUCAAGGUGAACAGAACGUACCAGGGUGAUGAGGGAAUGUCUUAGCAUCAGCACAGUUUGUGCAGCAUGAGCAGGAGAAAAGCUUAGAAGCAAGACUUCCCAUCAUGCCACAGUCAUGUGCAGAAGCAAAGCUUCCCAUCAUGCCGCGGUCAUGUGCAGAAGCAGAGCUUCCCUUCAUUUAAAUAUAUUUUUUAUUUCUUACUUUUAUCAUUUGAAAUAAAUAUACUUCUUUCAGAAACCACCACCACCACAUCUUUAGUUUCUUCCUUUGGGGGGGGGGGGUGUUGCCUUUUGUUUUUUGGUUCUCUCCCUCUUUCUUCUCUUAAAUUACCGCCCAGUUUCCAAUCUUCCAUACCUGGGUAAGGUAAUUGAGAGAGCGGUAGCUGAACAGCUUAGUAGGUUUCUGGAAGAAACAUCGGCUUUAGAUCCAUUUCAGUCCGGGUUCCAUCCUGGAUUUGGGACCGGCACGGCUCUGGUUGCCCUAACAGAUGAUCUCCGUAGACAACUGGAUCAAGGCGGGUCAGGACUACUGAUCCUUUUAGAUUUGUCAGCAGCCUUUGACAUGGUCAAUCAUGAUCUUCUGGACCACCGCCUCGCCGACGUGUGGAUACAGGGCAUAGCCCGUAAAUGGCUGUGCUCUUUUAUCUCUGGUCGGGGACAGAGGGUGGCACUAGGGAAGGAGAUGUCGUCACGCCACACCUUGGUGUGUGGAGUGCCGCAGAGCGCAAUCCUCUCCCUGAUGCUUUUUAACAUCUUUAUGCGCCCCCUUGCCCAGAUUAUCCGGAGCUUUGGGCUGGGUUGCUGAUGACACUCAGCUCUAUCUGCUGAUGGAUGGCCACACCGACUCGGCCCCAGACACACUGAUCAGAUGCUUGGAAGCUGUGGCUGGAUGGUUUCGUGGGAGCUGAUUGAAACUAAAGCCUUUGAAGACAGAGGUCCUAUGGCUAGGUCGGGAUGGCAUGGGGAUGAGGAACCAACUCCCUUCUCUUGUGGGGGCCCAAUUAGUGCCAUUGCCUUCCGUUAAGAGUUUGGGUGUAAUCCUUGAUGCCUCCCUUUCCAUGGAUGCGCAGGUUACAGCAACAGCCAAGGCGACAUUUUCCACCUUCGCUGCAUCAAGCAGUUGGUCCCUUACCUUUCCCGCCCCGACCUGGCCACAGUGAUCCAUGUGAUGGUCAUCUCCAGGCUUGACUACUGUAAUUCGCUCUACGCGGGGCUGCCCUUAAAGCUGUCCCAGAAGCUCCAGCGGGUGCAGAAUGCUGCAGCGAGGAUCCUCGCGGGGUCUCUGCCAUGGGAGCAUAUUCACCCAGUGCUUUUCAAGCUGCACUGGCUCCCGGUGGAGUACAGGGUCAGAUUUAAGGUGCUGCUUUUGACCUUUCAAGCCCUUCACGGCCUAGGACCCUCGUACCUACGGGACCGCCUCUCCCGGUAUGCCCCACAGAGAGUCUCAAGGUCCAUAAAUAGCAACACCCUAGUGGUCCCAGGUCCUAAGGAAGUUAGAUUAGCUUCAACCAGAGCCAGGGCCUUUUCAACACUGGCUCUGGCCUGGUGGAACACUCUGCCUCAUGAGACCAGGGCCCUGGAGGAUCUGAUUUCUUGCCGCAGCCUGUAAGACAGAGUUGUUCCGCCUGGCCUUUGGCUUGGAGCCAAUUUGAUUCCCUCCCCCUUUCUUUUUCCUUUCUCCUCCUGUGAUGAGGCUGCAUUUUAAUAUUUGUAUUCUUUUGUAUUUGUUGUAUUUUAAUCUUGUUUUUAAGUUGUAUUCAUUCAACUUCUUUUUAUUAUUGCUUGUUAGCUGCCCUGAGCCCAGCCUUGGCUGGGG